rnacentral:rRNA from 1 species
GACAGAGGUGCCAAGCGUUAGGCGGAAUCACUGGGCUUAAAGCGUGUGUAGGCGGAAUUGUAAGUACCUUGUGAAAUCCCACGGCUCAACCGUGGAACUGCUCGGUAUACUGCUUUUCUUGAGCCACUUAGGGGCUGUCGGAACAAACGGUGGAGCGGUGAAAUGCGUAGAUAUCGUUUGGAACGCCAACGGUGAAAACAGACAGCUGGGAGUGUGCUGACGCUGGAGACACGAAAAGCCAGGGGAGCGAACGGG